GCCGCCGCGGUAACACCGGCAGCUCUAGUGGUAGCAAUUUUUAUUGGGCCUAAAGCGUCCGUAGCCGGUUUAAUAAGUCUCUGGUGAAAUCCUGUAGCUUAACUGUGGGAAUUGCUGGAGAUACUAUUAGACUUGAGACCGGGAGAGGUUAGAGGUACUCCCAGGGUAGAGGUGAAAUUCUGUAAUCCUGGGAGGACCGCCUGUUGCGAAGGCGUCUAACUGGAACGGUUCUGACGGUGAGGGACGAAAGUUAGGGGCGCGAACCGGAUUAGAUACCCC
rnacentral:rRNA from 1 species